rnacentral:rRNA from 1 species
UACGGGGGGGGCAAGCGUUGCUCGGAAUUACUGGGCGUAAAGGGCUCGUAGGCGGCCAACUAAGUCAGACGUGAAAUCCCUCGGCUUAACCGGGGAACUGCAUCUGAUACUGGAUGGCUUGAGAUUGGGAGAGGGAUGCGGAAUUCCAGGUGUAGCGGUGAAAUGCGUAGAUAUCUGGAGGAACACCGGUGGCGAAGGCGGCAUCCUGGACCAACACUGACGCUGAGGAGCGAAAGCCAGGGGAGCAAACGGG